rnacentral:misc_RNA from 1 species
CUACUUAGCCAGAGUCAAGCAGGAAG